rnacentral:rRNA from 1 species
UACGGAGAGUGCAAACGUUGUUCGGAUUCACUGGGCGUAAAGGGCACGUAGGCGGCUUCCUAAGUCAGAUGUGAAAUCCCCGGGCUCAACCUGGGAACUGCGUUUGAAACUGGGAGGCUAGAGUGCGGCAGAGGGGGGUGGAAUUCCGCGUGUAGCAGUGAAAUGCGUAGAUAUGCGGAGGAACACCGAUGGCGAAGGCAAUCCCCUGGGCCUGCACUGUCGCUCAUGCACGAAGGCGUGGGGAGCAAACAGG